AAUCAACGCUGGCGGCGUGCCUAACACAUGCAAGUCGCACGAGAAAGGGACUUCGGUCCUGAGUACAGUGGCGCACGGGUGAGUAACACGUGAAUAAUCUACCUCCGAGUGGGGAAUAACCUAGAGAAAUCUGGGCUAAUACCGCAUAACACUUACGAGUCAAAGCAGCAAUGCGCUUGGAGAGGAGUUCGCGGCAGAUUAGUUAGUUGGCAGGGUAAUGGCCUACCAAGACGAUGAUCUGUAUCCGGCCUGAGAGGGCGCACGGACACACUGGAACUGAAACACGGUCCAGACUCCUACGGGAGGCAGCAGUGGGGAAUUUUGCGCAAUGGGGGAAACCCCUGACGCAGCAACGCCGCGUGGAGGAUGAAAUCCCUUGGGA
rnacentral:rRNA from 1 species